rnacentral:misc_RNA from 1 species
GAUGAAGAACGUAGCGAAAUGCGAUAAGUAGUGUGAAUUGCAGAAUUCAGUGAAUCAUCGAGUCUUUGAACGCACAUUGCGCCCCUUGGUAUCCCGAGGGGCAUGCCUGUUCGAGCGUCAUUUCACCACUCAAGCCUGGCUUGGUGUUGGGCGACGUCCCCUUUGGGGACGCGCCUCGAAACGCUCGGCGGCGUGGCACCGGCUUUAAGCGUAGCAGAAUCUUUCGCUUUGGAAGUCGGGGCCCCGUCUGCCGGAAGACCUACUCGCAAGGUUGACCUCGGAUCAGGCAGGGAUACCCGCUGAACUUAAGCAUAUCAAUAAGCGGAGGA